AGAAAGGGAAGUUAAUUGGCUUGAAGCCACGCGAAAGAGGAGUCGGGAUCAUUUGAAAGAGGCUUUAAGUUUAAAAUAAUACCAACAGCAUACGACGAUGAUGAUGAUUAUAAUAUAAUACAAUAAAUGUCACGCAGGAGACUAAAAAAAUGUAACUUCAUCAGCUUGGGUUGCAUAAGACAGAGAAGUUGGAUUCACAUCUUAUCCCAGAAUGUUUUAAAUAUUUAAAAGGGACUCAGUGCCUCAUUGUAAUGUGAGACAAAGGCGUUCUUUUACACCAACAACAAAGACAUCCUCUGACAAGCCACAGGCUACUGAGCGACAAAGACACAGUUCACAUCUCUGUCUACCUUGGUUUGGAAGCAGAAGAUUGUGACAGCUAUACAAACUAGCGCUGUUAUUCCCAUGGCGAGGAGCACUGCUUUUGUGUCAUAAUAGCUGUAAAAGACAGACAUCACAAUUUAAAAAAAAAGAAAUAUAUAUAUAAUGCAAUAAUAAUACAUGAUUGUGAAUAUGUACUCUCUUUGACAAUUUGUGGUGCAACGAUUUGAGACCAAAACAAACCUUGAAAUUGUUCCAGACAUGUAAGACAAGGCGAGAGUCUGCAAGAUCAAACAUGAGAAGAAUGCGUCAUGACAGACAGAGUGGGCUUUUGGUUCUUUCUUCUACCUGCUGCCUGUGUUUGACUUUAAUUUCUAGUCUUUAGCUCAGACACUGUCUUACUCCCAACAAUAUAUCUGCAAUAAUGGAUCUGCCUCGUAAUCUAUACUUACAAAUACUCCCAGCAGAACAAGAUUCCAUGGGAAACGUCUCCUAAUCCAGAAAAAUGUAAAACAUUACUGGGUUUGACACAGACAUGAAAUAGUGCAUCUGUUUUUUGACCUACUCAAGAAAAAACGGUUGCUCACCUUGGCUCUUUGCAGCAGAUGAGAAUGCAGUACACCAUAAAGUAAACCACACUAUGGAGGGAUAUAUAGCACAUUGUGAAACAUGAGAAUAACGGCACUGGCAAACUGUUAACGACUGCAUGGCUGCUGCUCUUGUUUUGUUCCUAGAAUGUAACUCACAAAGAUGCCCAGUAGAUGCCAGGAUAUUUGAUGACAAACAGCCUCACUGGGUCGCUGCGAAAGCACAGAACAUGGCAUUGUUGCUCAUCGUCCAACAGACGCAGCGUGUCGGAUUGAUGUGCUCUCCCACUGGCUGCUGAACAGAUCCUCCAUGUCUCCUGCAGAAUUGAACCUGAGUUGGACGCGACCACUCCGGCAGACAGAGUCGGCACUGUGGAGGGCAUCCCAGAUGGAGAGAAACCAGGGGCUGCCCACACACCGGCCUGUGGGGAGAUGCCAUCCUGGCCCCAGUAGCCAGG